GAGCACUUGAUACUAACCGAGCCAUCAGUGUCCCAGCCUCGUGCAGAGGCCUGAGGGUCACCCUGUGAUCGCUGGGUCUGCAAAGUGCAACAGCAAAACAAGCCAUGCAGUGUUUAAGCUCAGUGUGUGAAGGAAGACACUGGGUUAUAGCUCAGAGGCACAGAA
ensembl:scaRNA